GCCUUGUACACACCGCCCGUCACACCACGAGAGUUUGUAACACCCGAAGUCGGUGAGGUAACCUUUUAGGAGCCAGCCGCCUAAGGUGGGAUAGAUGAUUGGGGUGAAGUCGUAACAAGGUAGCCGUAUCGGAAGGUGCGGCUGGAUCACCUCCUUUCUA
rnacentral:rRNA from 1 species